ensembl:snoRNA SNORD82 Small nucleolar RNA SNORD82
ACCACAAAGGGUGGAAUAUAAAGGAACUUGAUUCUGAAAUAUGAUGUUAAAUUAUAAUAUGAUGAUGUGU